AGAGUUUGAUCCUGGCUCAGGAUGAACGCUAGCUACAGGCUUAACACAUGCAAGUCGAGGGGAAACGAUAAUGGAAGCUUGCUUCCGAUAGGCGUCGACCGGCGCACGGGUGAGUAACGCGUAUCCAACCUGCCCAUCACUUGGGAAUAACCUUGCGAAAGUAAGACUAAUGCCCAAUGACAUUUAUAGAAGGCAUCGGAAAUGAAUUAAAGAUUUAUCGGUGAUGGAUGGGGAUGCGUCUGAUUAGCUUGUUGGCGGGGUAACGGCCCACCAAGGCGACGAUCAGUAGGGGUUCUGAGAGGAAGGUCCCCCACAUUGGAACUGAGACACGGUCCAAACUCCUACGGGAGGCAGCAGUGAGGAAUAUUGGUCAAUGGGCGAGAGCCUGAACCAGCCAAGUAGCGUGCAGGAUGACGGCCCUAUGGGUUGUAAACUGCUUUUAUAGGGGAAUAAAGUGAGCCACGUGUGGUUUUUUGCAUGUACCCUAUGAAUAAGGACCGGCUAAUUCCGUGUCAGCAGCCGCGGUAAUACGGAAGGUCCGGGCGUUAUCCGGAUUUAUUGGGUUUAAAGGGAGCGUAGGCCGGAGAUUAAGCGUGUUGUGAAAUGUAGAUGCUCAACAUCUGCACUGCAGCGCGAACUGGUUUCCUUGAGUACGCAUAAAGUGGGCGGAAUUCGUGGUGUAGCGGUGAAAUGCUUAGAUAUCACGAAGAACUCCGAUUGCGAAGGCAGCUCACUGGGGCGCAACUGACGCUGAAGCUCGAAAGCGCGGGUAUCGAACAGGAUUAGAUACCCUGGUAGUCCGCGCGGUAAACGAUGGAUGCCCGCUGUUGGGCCAACUGGUUCAGCGGCCAAGCGAAAGCAUUAAGCAUCCCACCUGGGGAGUACGCUGGCAACGGUGAAACUCAAAGGAAUUGACGGGGGCCCGCACAAGCGGAGGAACAUGUGGUUUAAUUCGAUGAUACGCGAGGAACCUUACCCGGGCUCAAACGUCGGGCGAAUCAUCCUGAAAGGGGUGAGCCAGCAAUGGCGGCCGACGAGGUGCUGCAUGGUUGUCGUCAGCUCGUGCCGUGAGGUGUCGGCUUAAGUGCCAUAACGAGCGCAACCCCCGCGUCCAGUUGCCAGCGAUUGAAGUCGGGCACUCUGGACGGACUGCCGGCGCAAGCCGCGAGGAAGGCGGGGAUGACGUCAAAUCAGCACGGCCCUUACGUCCGGGGCGACACACGUGUUACAAUGGCGUGGAACAGAGGGAAGCCACCUGGCGACAGGGAGCGGAACCCGAAAACACGUCUCAGUUCGGAUUGGAGUCUGCAACUCGACUCCAUGAAGCUGGAUUCGCUAGUAAUCGCGCAUCAGCCAUGGCGCGGUGAAUACGUUCCCGGGCCUUGUACACACCGCCCGUCAAGCCAUGGGAGCCGGGAGUGCCUGAAGGCCGUAACCGCAAGGAGCGGUCAAGGGUAAGACUGGUGACUGGGGCUAAGUCGUAACAAGGUA
rnacentral:rRNA from 1 species